UACGGGAGGGGGCUAGCGUUGUUCGGAAUUACUGGGCGUAAAGCGCACGUAGGCGGACUGUUAAGUCGGGGGUGAAAUCCUGGGGCUCAACCUCAGAAUUGCCUCCGAUACUGGCAGUCUCGAGUGCGGGAGAGGUGAGUGGAAUUCCCAGUGUAGAGGUGAAAUUCGUAGAUAUUGGGAAGAACACCAGUGGCGAAGGCGGCUC
rnacentral:rRNA from 1 species